rnacentral:tRNA from 1 species
GCGCCUGUAGCUCAACAGGAUAGAGCAACGGACUUCUAAUCCGUAGGUUCGGGGUUCGAGUCCCUGCAGGCGCGCCA